UGCUCUUUCAUCCCAAAAUAGUGGUAGUUACGGCUCCGUUACCUCUGCCGGUUUCCUCAAUGUGGUUCUCUGGUUUAAUUUUCUGCUACUGAUUUGCAUUUAUCCUGGUUUAUUUCUAAUAGCAUUUUUGUCUAUGAUAUGAUCUGUUCCUACAAGGCAGUAGCAGGGUGCUUCAGUUCUGGUGUUUGAAUUUUGGUACAGUUGUGUUAUGCUCAUCACAAGUCAGCUUGUAUUGAGCUUCUGUUUGACACAGUGGGGAGUCUCUUUGUGCCUACAUUUGUGUUGGUUAUCCCCUAAUCACUGAUGCUCAUAAUGCUCUCCAUGAGAAGGUAAUUGUUUCAACUUUCCUUGAAAAAUCAAUAGUUGAUAAUAGAUUAAAUAUAUAACUAUGCUAUUAGGAUACUUGAUUGUGUAGGCAAGAAAAUCUAUUAGGAUUCUUGAUUGCGGGAAUACAUUUUACCAAUCAUUGAUGACUUUCGUGCUUCACAUUUUCUUGGUUUUAAAAAUGUCACUGAAAUCAUCACUUUUGUCAUGCAGGAUAUUCCCCCAAAACAGGGGUUUUGACCUUGCUCUUGCCACCGCACCACAUCGCCGUUAUUAUGUGAACCGACUUCUUGAUUCCCUCUCAUAAGGAGUUCACGAUGAACCGACAAGAUCGAGAUGUGCUCACAUGGCUGGC
rnacentral:lncRNA from 1 species